ACAGUCGUGGCCGAGUGGUUAAGGCGAUGGACUCGAAAUCCAGCGGGGUCUCCCCCACAGGCUCGAAUCCUGUCGGCUGCG